UUUUUUUUUUUUUUGAGAAUGUUAAAGCAAUUAUGUGGUAAUAACAUCUGUUAUGUAUGAGGAACCUUUAAUUUUUCUUUUUUCUUUUUGUAAUAGCUAGGGAGAAAAUAAGGAAGAAUAAUAAUUUUUUUUUUUUUUUUUUUUUAUUUACGGGGGAAGAAUAAAAUGUUGGUAUUCGGUAAUUGCAACUUUAGAGUUUAGACUUAAUUAAGUUGGAUUAUCCAAUUAAUAUGUGAUAUUAUUAGUGAACUUCGCGGCUAAAUUUGGAAGCCGGUAUAUAUAUUCCCUUCCAGAGUGGUGUCCCAUUUUGAAAUAAAAUGUGGACAUUCUUAUUUCGCCCACUUUCAUGUCGCAUUUUCACAUCUCAACCGUACAAUGUCUAAAACACAGUGUGUAGAUCAUUCAUGUAAAGUUUCAUCAAAUUUGAAGAUCAUUUGAGCUUCCGUAAUCGUGAUUUACACAAACGGUUCUGUUUGGACAGUUUUUGUUCUGUUGAUUUAUUUAAUCUAAUUCAGUACCCAAAUAAUCUUCAAAUUGGAUGAAACUUUGCAGGAAUGAUCUACACACUGUGUUUUAGACAUUGUACGGUUGAGAUGUGAAAAUACGACAUAAAAGUAAGCAAAAUAAGGUCUCCACUUUAAUUUUAAAACGAGAUAUCGCUCUGGAAUGAAACUAUAUAUAUAUACACAUGGUAGUUAAACCUCAACAAAUAUUAUAUGUUGUAGAUAUCACUUGCACCUAAUGUUGGGGAAUGAGUGGAGGAGGGUUAGUUUUUUUAUUUUUUUUAUUUUUAUUGAAACCAAACUUCAUUGAAACAUAGGGAAACAGGGGGAAACCAAUACAGAAGGAAUAAAAACCAAGAAACAAACGAAGACUAACUAAAAGACAGCAAACUCCCACACCCCCAUAACCCCACAGAUAGGAUCUAAGGAGGAGGCCGGGUUAGUUACAUAUGGUGGAAUACUGGCGGUAGAUAUGAUUCCUGCUGAGAAUAAAUAUCUCACCAAUGAUCAAUGAUAUUUCGAUCUUUCUCGAAUGACUCAAGUCAACGCCCAUGUCAAACAAAACGGUAGAAAAUCCAUAGAUAAACAUACACUUAUGAGUAAUUACGAUCCUUAAUUCUAAUCCCAAAUGUUAAAACUAUGUUAUUUAUCAUUAGGGUUAAUUCAAUAACAAUUCCUGCUUGCAUGAACUACUUAGGGAUUACAUAGAUCCAGAUGUGUAUACUGUGAAAAAAAAUAAUAAAAAAAUAAACUAAAACUGUAAAUACCAUAUGCGUUCACAUAAUUCAUCGAUCUCAGAUGUAUAGACGACCAAGCUAUGAAAUGUUAGUUUGAUCAUUUUGUCGUAAUUUGAUCAGCAUGCAGUUACGUGUGUGUGUGUAUAUAUGUAUACAUGCAUAUAUAUAUAUAUAUAUAUAUAUAUAGUACGUUGUUAAGUAGGAUUUCAGCGAAUUAUACCGCCAAAAUAUCAAAAAUAAUGAUCUAGAGUACAUAUAUACAGUUUAUAUAAAUUUAUUAUUAUUAUUUUAGUUCUAAUUAGCGUCUUAAUUACCUUCAUCCAUCAUACCGCUUGAAAUCUAUCUCCAAAGUUAGGCCAGUAUACAAGUAAUUAAGUUUAUGCAUCCAUAGAUCUAGCUAGCUAGACAGAUCGAACGACUGUACGACAGCAGCGAGAUAUAUAGAAAUUAAGGCAGCUAGCUAGAGAAGCUGGAAGAAAGCUGCAGAGAUCACCAACCUGAUUUCCAGUUGGAGAAAGAAGAUAAUCACGAUCUGGGGAGGCCAGCAGAGAUGAAAUUCUAGAGCUCGAAACCCUCUCAGCCUCAGCACCAACAGCACCAGCACCAGUUCCGUUGCUCAGAGCUUGACCAUGGCUAUUCACCAUCAUCUCCUUCAUCAUCAACCUCUUUCUGUUCUCUUUCUAGGAGUUAGCAGACUUGCCGGUGCUUCUGUCUGAAGUGAAAAUAGUUACAGCAAUACAGACAGAGACUUGUUUAUAUAUAAUUCUGAGAACCUAAUUGGUUUGCCCACGUCACUACGUAUGUAUGUGUAUACUUCGAAUUGAGCCCCGUCAUUUAUACAUCAGAACCCCACUCGAAGCUUUCAUCUUCCAUCGCUUGGACUAACGAGUACUACUACACUGUACUACGGCGUACCCUAAAUCCGGUGCUUCACCAAUCCAUCACCACCACCGUUUCUAUCAAAUCCUGAGCUAAAAUUAUUAGAGCUAGCACAGUGCGCCACAUGUUUAGAUAUUUGGGUUGGAAUUGGUGUGAAGCAUGAUAUGAUUGCUACGUUUAGGUCGUGGCACUCGGCAAUAUGGGCGAUGCAAGCUAUAGCUAACCAGGUCCGUGUUGCCAUAAAGAACUCUCUUUUUGAAUUGAUGGUUGUCACUGAAUUGUGAGAGGCAAACAAACGGAGGGGACACAUGUCGCAGCUACUAUCGUUCAAUGUUUUUUGUCAACUAUUCGCAACUUUUUCAUGGAAAACAGGAUAGGUGAGCUCAAACUUUAAAACAUUAUCUCCACAAAACUAUUAUUUUUUACGUUUUUAUCUAGAUUAUACGUUUUCUUAAAAGAUUUUUUAGACACAUAAACUAAUCAGUAAUAAUGUCAUAAUGUUUCCUCCUAUUUUUCUGGUCAUCAUUCAGAAUAAUUUAGGGUUUAACUUAAUUAGAAUCGGUAAAUUUUUAACCUGAGUAUGAGGUUCCAUAUACGUCUAAACUUUUAUGGUGAUUACUUUUUUUUGUUAAGAAGAGAACAAUGAAGGAGUACUUAGGUAACUUAUUCAAUUUCUUAUUUUUUGCUAUGUAAUUGAAUAGUUAAUUAAAAUUGAAGUGUAAUCUUGUAUUUCACACAAGCCUAGCCUCUUGUACUUCGUUUUUGUUUAUGGUAUCAAAACGGGUAAAGCAGCCCCACGUACACUAUUGGUGUCUUUCCAAAACGUUGCCUUGCCCAAAGCAAAGCGAAUAGUGGUGGCCUUCCGAGUGAUCCUAAUAUCGUAAGCCGUCCAAACUCCAAACAUGAGUCAUUUGCAAGCUAGCUAGCAUUUCCUUUAAAAAGAUAUCAACCAGAGUACGUAGGCUAGUGCUCAAUAUCAUUUCCUACUUUAGCGUCUCACGUGUGAGUCGCCACAUCGCCUUUAUCGUUUCUAAUAUGUUAGCAUGCACUUUCACACACGUCUGUGAUCGGGUAGGAGAGUUUCUUUGGAUUCAAGCCAGCUAAAAGAGUUGAUUACUCAACUUCUCAAUAGAACUUGUUAGUUUAACACUUAAGACGCUAGACAAUGUUUGUCGUUUUCCACCUUUUGGGUUGUGCUCCUACAAGGCUACGACAAAGAUUGUCACCACAUAUCAUCAACAAGUCUUAAAUCUUCGUGAAGCAAACUUUGUGGCUAACGUUUUAUCAAAGAUUACGGUAUUUGCACUUGGGAGUUGGGAUGUUAAUUUUUCUUAUGGUGUUGUUGUUGAUGUUAGUUUCGACCUUUUUAGCACCGGUUGCUUGAGAGACUUUUUCUUAUAGUUUGUUUAAUCAUUUCGUAUCAGACAAAAAACAAAAAUAACAAUCUUAGAUCGCCAUGGAGAAGCUGUAGGCUUGGCGCGUUGCUCGGAUUUGCUGUUUUGGGCCCUUAUGCUAGUUUAGUUUCUGUCCCCCUUUAUGGGCCAGUGUUUUGUUGUUCUCAUUGGACUUGGAACAAGGCCCAUUUUCAGGCCUAUAAUUUCUUCCAGACUCUUCGAUCGGGAUAUAUGAAUCGCUCUCAGCUUCUUGAUUACGGUAAAAGAAAGUAAGAAUUUAUUAUCAGAUUCGUCGAUUGGGUUACAGCUGCGGCAUUCCCUUAUUUGAUUUCAAUCUAAUUGGCACAUUUAUGAUUAAUUUACAGCUGGAGAUCGAAAGAAAGAAAGUUAACUGACUGAUACAUAGGAUCUGAGUUACUUCGAUCAACAGCUAGCUAUGCAUGAGAGGAAAGCAAUCGAACCACAGUAAUUACUUGUGGUAGAAUUUAAAAUCUCAAUUUGAAACUCAUAAAUGAACAAAUAAACCUUCCCCCAGAUAUUUGCAUAUACGUACAGGCUAGCACACCAUUCUAGAAUACCCGUGCAGCUGCAAAUUCCUCAGAGCCGAUGCACCGCCGUAUUGCCACCAAACCAACCCAUGCACGCCGGGGACUAAACGGUCAUUUUAACACACUUGCCCCUGCUAACUGAUUGGGGCAGCUUUGGUACUUGCGCAGUCUGUCACAAAAUACUACAUAUGGCUGCAUGCAGCUUCAAUUGCACCGGACCUUAAAAAUAACUCUUAUUUUGAACUGAGAAAAAUCUGGAAUUUGGACUGAUCGAGAUAUUGAAAUUUCAUCAAAUCAUGCAUGCAGUACCAAUAGAUUGAUACUAAUAUACAGUGGAAAACGAUUCGAUGAUUUUAAUAAAUCAAAUAAUGAAAUUAACCGAGAUGAUCAAAACCCUACAUAGCACAGUUCCACAUAUGAUCAUCACUGAUACAAAUAUAUACUUUGUUUUCCUUUUUCUCGAUCUGAACUAA
rnacentral:lncRNA from 1 species